rnacentral:rRNA from 1 species
AAUAUUUCGCAAUGGAGGGAACUCUGACGCAGCGACGCCGCGUGAGCGAUGAAGGUUUNUGGAUCNUNAAGCUCUGUCCUUGGGGNAGAAGAUCUUAGGAUUUGACGGUACCCGAGGAGGAAGCACCGGCUAACUACGUGCCAGCAGCCGCGGUAAUACGUAGGGGGCAAGCGUUGGCCGGAAUGAUUGGGCGUAAAGGGUGCGUAGGCGGCCUUUUAAGUCAGAUGUGAAAGACCACGGCUUAACCGUGGGGUUGCAUUUGAAACUGGAGGGCUUGAGUAUCGGAGAGGGUAGUGGAAUUCCCAGUGUAGCGGUGGAAUGCGUAGAUAUUGGGAGGAACACCAGUGGCGAAGGCGACUACCUGGACGAAAACUGACGCUGAGGCACGAAAGCUAGGGGAGCAAAC